GACGGACGCUGGCGGCGUGCUUAACACAUGCAAGUCGAACGGAAAGGCCCCAGCUUGCUGGGGUACUCGAGUGGCGAACGGGUGAGUAACACGUGGGUGAUCUGCCCUGCACUCUGGGAUAAGCCUGGGAAACUGGGUCUAAUACCGGAUAGGACCGUGCUUUAGUGUGUGCGGUGGAAAGUUUUUCGGUGCAGGAUGAGCCCGCGGCCUAUCAGCUUGUUGGUGGGGUAAUGGCCUACCAAGGCGGCGACGGGUAGCCGGCCUGAGAGGGUGUACGGCCACAUUGGGACUGAGACACGGCCCAGACUCCUACGGGAGGCAGCAGUGGGGAAUAUUGCACAAUGGGCGCAAGCCUGAUGCAGCGACGCCGCGUGGGGGAUGACGGCCUUCGGGUUGUAAACCCCCUUCGGCAGGGACGAAGCUUUUGUGACGGUACCUGCAUAAGAAGCACCGGCUAACUACGUG
rnacentral:rRNA from 1 species